CCUACGGGAGGCAGCAGUGAGGAAUAUUGGUCAAUGGACGAAAGUCUGAACCAGCCAUGCCGCGUGCAGGAAGAAGGCUCUAUGAUUUGUAAACUGCUUUUUAACAAGGGUAAACCUGAAUACGUGUAUUAAUCUGAAAGUACUGUACGAAUAAGGAUAGUCUAACUCCUCGCCAGCAGCCGCGGGAAUUCGGAGGAUCCAACCGUUAUCCGGAUGUAUUGGGUUUAAAGGGUGCGUAGGCGGGUUGAUAAGGUAGAGGUGAAAUGUCCGGGCUCAACUCGGGGACUGCUUGUGAUACUGUGGAACUAGAGAUAAGGUGAGGUAGACGGAAUGUAUGGUGUAGCGGUGAAAUGCUUAGAGAUUAGGAAGAACACCGAUGGCGAAGGCAGCUUACUA
rnacentral:rRNA from 1 species